rnacentral:rRNA from 1 species
UAGUGGCGAACGGGUGAGUAACACGUGAGUAACCUGCCCUUAACUCUGGGAUAAGCCUUGGAAACGGGGUCUAAUACUGGAUAUUGACUUUACCUCGCAUGGGGUUUUGUUGAAAGAUUUAUUGGUUUUGGAUGGACUCGCGGCCUAUCAGCUUGUUGGUGAGGUAAUGGCUCACCAAGGCGACGACGGGUAGCCGGCCUGAGAGGGUGACCGGCCACACUGGGACUGAGACACGGCCCAGACUCCUACGGGAGGCAGCAGUGGGGAAUAUUGCACAAUGGGCGAAAGCCUGAUGCAGCGACGCCGCGUGAGGGAUGACGGCCUUCGGGUUGUAAACCUCUUUCAGUAGGGAACAAGGCCAGCAUUUUUGUUGGUUGAGGGUACUUGCAGAAGAAGCGCCGGCUAACUACGUGCCAGCAGCCGCGGUAAUACGUAGGGCGCAAGCGUUAUCCGGAAUUAUUGGGCGUAAAGAGCUCGUAGGCGGUUUGUCGCGUCUGCCGUGAAAGUCCGGGGCUCAACUCCGGAUCUGCGGUGGGUACGGGCAGACUAGAGUGAUGUAGGGGAGACUGGAAUUCCUGGUGUAGCGGUGAAAUGCGCAGAUAUCAGGAGGAACACCGAUGGCGAAGGCAGGUCUCUGGGCAUUAACUGACGCUGAGGAGCGAAAGCAUGGGGAGCGAACAGGAUUAGAUACCCUGGUAGUCCAUGCCGUAAACGUUGGGCACUAGGUGUGGGGGACAUUCCACGUUUUCCGCGCCGUAGCUAACGCAUUAAGUGCCCCGCCUGGGGAGUACGGCCGCAAGGCUAAAACUCAAAGGAAUUGACGGGGGCCCGCACAAGCGGCGGAGCAUGCGGAUUAAUUCGAUGCAACGCGAAGAACCUUACCAAGGCUUGACAUGAACUGGAAAUACCUGGAAACAGGUGCCCCGCUUGCGGUCGGUUUACAGGUGGUGCAUGGUUGUCGUCAGCUCGUGUCGUGAGAUGUUGGGUUAAGUCCCGCAACGAGCGCAACCCUCGUUCUAUGUUGCCAGCACGUUAUGGUGGGGACUCAUAGGAGACUGCCGGGGUCAACUCGGAGGAAGGUGAGGACGACGUCAAAUCAUCAUGCCCCUUAUGUCUUGGGCUUCACGCAUGCUACAAUGGCCGGUACAAUGGGUUGCGAUACUGUGAGGUGGAGCUAAUCCCAAAAAGCCGGUCUCAGUUCGGAUUGGGGUCUGCAACUCGACCCCAUGAAGUCGGAGUCGCUAGUAAUCGCAGAUCAGCAACGCUGCGGUGAAUACGUUCCCGGGCCUUGUACACACCGCCCGUCAAGUCACGAAAGUUGGUAACACCCGAAGCCGGU